rnacentral:tRNA from 1 species
GGGUAUGUAGCUCAGUGGUAGAGUGCUUGCCUGGCAUGCAUGAGGCUCUGGGUUCAAUCUCCAGCAUGACAA